rnacentral:misc_RNA from 1 species
GGGGUAGAAAUUGAUUGCAGAUGAACUUGAAAGGCCAUUCAAUUUAUAAAUAAUAUCAAAAGAUGUCCCUUUUUGGGAUUCCAGUGUUAUAAUUUGAAGCUAGACCUCGAAGUCUACAAUUAAUCUCUCUAUAUUGAGGAAAAUCAGUCGGAUAGAGCCUCCAUGAACUCUUCAUCCCUUUCCAUAGCUUGUAAUGUUUCAGGCAGAAGACAAGCCUGAAUAUCCACACUCCCCUCUUCCACUCCUGGAAAAACAGUCAUUUUCCCAUCAUAAUUGUUCCCAGCUCCACCUCGCACUGCAACAGGCCUUCCCCAACCGAAGUUAUUACCAAAAACAUUGAACCGCGGGGAGCUUGCUACAAUCAAGGCAUUGCUUGCUGCAGCACUAAGUUUUGACAAAAUAGGCCUCUUGACCCAAUUCUCCAAGUUCUUUCUCACUUCUCCAUCUGUUUGCUGAGCAACCAUCUUGUUUAUCUGCAAAGCAGCGAAGCCUAGUCCAUUCUUUAACAGCUCACCUGCUGUUGUUUUUGCUGCUCCAAAUAGAACUACAUUUCCAAAGUACUCUUCAGGCAAUGGCGGCUGCAAUCUUUGCCUCAUGUUUACCAGUAUCCGGCAAUAGAUUUCUUGAUCAGCAUCAAGAUUUCUAGUGCGAAUUAUGGAUUGCCAAAGACGACCCAAGAUUGCUUGAAGGGAUGAGAUCUUUGACGUGCCCAUCUCAGCAUUGGCUUUGGCUUUAAGUGCUGCAAUUUUUUCCUUGGAGAAAUGGAACACCUUUUCUAGCAGAGGUGGUGAGAUAAACCUAUUGGAAAUUGUUUCAUUGUAUGAAAAGGGAACCCGAAUUGGGUGAUCAAUCCCAUCAAGAAACCAGUCAUAUCCAAGGACUGGAGGAGGCUGCAAUGUUUCCCCAGAACUUCUAGAUAUUUCAGAC